rnacentral:rRNA from 1 species
UACGUAGGGGGCUAGCGUUGUCCGGAAUCAUUGGGCGUAAAGCGCGUGUAGGCGGCCCGGUAAGUCCGCUGUGAAAGUCGGGGGCUCAACCCUCGAAAGCCGGUGGAUACUGUCGGGCUCGAGUACGGAAGAGGCGAGUGGAAUUCCUGGCGUAGCGGUGAAAUGCGCAGAUAUCAGGAGGAACACCGAGUGCGAAGGCAGCUCGCUGGGACGUUACUGACGCUGAGACGCGAAAGCGUGGGGAGCAAGCAGG